rnacentral:ncRNA from 1 species
GAUUGGACAUUAGGGAAAAAUGUCUAAUCUAGGGAGAUAGAACAGCACGGGAACAGGUUAUCCCAAGUGAAUGGUGCAUGGCCGUUCUUAUUCCAAUAACAAACGAGACUCAGGCAUGCUAACUAGUUAUGCGACCCCUGAGCAGUCAGUGUCCAACUUGUUAGAGGGAAAAGCGGUGUUCAGCCACCCGAGAUUGAGCAAUAACAGAUCUGUGAUGCCCUUAGAUGUCCGGGGCUGCACGCGCGCUACUCUGACUCAGUUUGUGCCUACCCUCCACCGGCAGUCACGGGUAAACCGUUGAACCCCAUUCAUGGUGGGGAUUAGGGGUUGCAAUUCUUCACUGUGAACAAGGAAUUC